GGAAGCUACGUCAUUUCCCCCUCUGUUGCCCUAGCGCCCCUUGGAAGCCAAGAAUAUGAGGAAGUCUUCUUCCUUCGCGCCUUCUUCUUCCUUACGCUCCAGGGCAGCCUGACAGAGCCGCUCGAAGGCUCUGCUGGCCGCGGCUAGCCGGGUGCAGCAGAAGUCUCAGGUAGCUGAGAAGUUCAUGGAAUCUUCUUAUUUGCUACACCUUUCACUACUGCUUGUGAUAUAGUGCAGGGUUGGGAUGUGCAGACAUUUCUCAAGUGCACUGUGUACCUACACAGCAUGCUGCAAUUUGGCUACUGAAGUCAAGAGAAACUGGUUUGAACAACUACUGAGUGUAACAUAGGAAGCGCAUUUCAUUUGAUAACAGGAACACAGCUUUUGUGCUAAUAAAAUGCUUUGAAAAUUA
ensembl:lncRNA LINC02696 long intergenic non-protein coding RNA 2696